AAUGCUGCGACGGUAGUCGAAGUUAGUACGAGAGGAACACUUUCGUUGGUUAAUGCCGUUGUCUGAAAAGACAGUAUGGCGGAGUUACUAUCUGCUGGAUAAUCCAGCCUGGAUUACGACUCAAUGCCUCCAAGCCGGAAUUCAUGUUGGAUAAGCAGUGUUGUACUCAGGACCAAUGGCGUACAAACGGUCCCUGGGGAGGUACGCGAGUCAAAAAUCAUCGAUAUAAUGGGUACGCUGUGCUCGGAAAUUUCUCAGAAAAAUUUGUAGGAAAAAUUUUAUCCCACAAGUGCAAUAGGAGUCCCGCACUGUAGCCGACAGUCUGCAGGACAAGGGA
rnacentral:ncRNA from 1 species